GGGAAAGUGGCUCAGUGGUAGAGCGCUUGCCUUGUAUGCCUGAGGCCCUGGGUUCGAUUCCUCAGCACCA
rfam:Dipodomys ordii contig_6662, whole genome shotgun sequence.